rnacentral:rRNA from 1 species
CAGCAGCCACGGUAAUACAGAGGAUGCAAGCGUUAUCCGGAAUGAUUGGGCGUAAAGCGUCUGUAGGUGGCUUUUCAAGUCCGCCGUCAAAUCCCAGGGCUCAACCCUGGACAGGCGGUGGAAACUACCAAACUGGAGUACGGUAGGGGCAGAGGGAAUUUCCGGUGGAGCGGUGAAAUGCGUUGAGAUCGGAAAGAACGCCAACGGCGAAGGCACUCUGCUGGGCCGACACUGACACUGAGAGACGAAAGCUAGGGGAGCGAACAGGAUUAGAUACCCCGGUAGUCCCUGUCUCUUAUAC